rnacentral:antisense_RNA from 1 species
GUAUGAAGAGUCCCAACCAACUCACCUAACGCAGAUGCCAAACCUGAUCAGAUAGGUAGCUUUUUAGACUGCUGGUCAUAGUGGUAACUUAGACCCACCUGACACAAAUGUUUACAUUCCCUAACCUGUUCUCUUCCACUGAGGAACAGUUCAACUGCCAAAUCUACCAUCAUUCAGGCUUUCAGAUGAGGCAGAAUCUAUAUAAGCCCAGUGCUGUUCUUCCUAAAGUCCCAGAAGUGGCAGUGGACUUUUGUGUACAGGGAACUGAAUCAUACCCUGACUCUCUGGGAAGGCAAGGAUUUAGUUGUGUCCAGUUGGAUUCCAAAAGCUCCCUCUCUACUCUUGUAUAAAGAACACUGUCAGUAAUAAAUGACCAAAGUACACACUGGGAAACAUUCAAGGUAUGAUAUUUUUUAUAGUCAGACUAUAUUGUAUUUCUGACAUUUCAAGUUCAUUAACUGAUAGGUUUAAAGUAUAAUUAUAAGCAAGUACUGAGGACUGUCAGAAUCUGAUUUGUGGAUUGAAUAGUAGGUGUGAAUCUCAAACUAAUGUGGUUUAUUUAUCUGCAAUCACAGGCUGUUCCAGCCAAAGGUCUGCUAAAUUAGUAGUCUGGGCCAGUGCUGGGUACAGUAUGUCCUAUCUCCUUCUACUGAUUCAGGUAUGUAGUUCUAUUUUUAACUAAAUAAAUAUCAAUAAGUGAAAACACCAAUGCCAGCAGAUAUUGCUUGUGUUCAAAGGAAAGCUGUAUUCUUCUUCACUCACUAUGAAAUACUCGAUUUCUCCUGGCAGAAUCUCUGUUUUCCACAAACACUGAAUUAUCUGCAAUAAAACACAUUCUGUCGGGACAGAUCAAAGACAAUACAUUUAUUAAACUUCGAGGAAAACAAACAAAACACUGACAUAAGGAAAGUUAAAUAGAAACUGAAAGACACAUCUUCUGACCGGCGAAUAAUGGCUUGUGUGACCAGUAAAGUACCAAAAUGACAUUCUGAGUUUGAUUGAGGUAUUUAACUAUUUUUGGCAAUAGAAACAGAGUAAGAAACUUUUUCCAAACAAACAUAGGCUUUACUUGCAUUAGUGUCUAUCAUCUAUGAAAUUUUAUAUGUAACUAAAUAAUGUAGCUGUUAGAAAAAUAUAGCAGCAAAUUAGCAGAAUACCUAAUGCACAUUUACCAUAGAGUACGUUCUGAACGUAAAAAUCCCACCCAAUGUUUGGGCUCAGUCCUGUAGCCCUUGGUCACAAAGAGAGCAUCAGUGAGUUCAGUGGGAGACAUCAUGAGCAAGAUCUGCAUUCACUGCACGUCAUGCACUUCUGUUCACGUCAGAGAAAGGCAAUGAACAUCCCCAUUUGCUUUAUCAGAAGAACCCUGAUAUGAUGCAGCUAUAGCCUAAUAAGGUAACUUCUGAAGCAAUAAAAACUCAUUGCAAAGCUCUGUCAAGUUCUUUAUAUACUUAAGAAUAAAGAGAACUUUCCCACUUGGUUUUGGUUUUCUCACCUCCUUUCUUUCCUAAGAAGUCUGCCUAGCUCAGUCAGAGGAGAUGCUGUUAGGCAAAGAGGAAAAAUCCUUUUUAACAACACCGUAUUCAAUUCCUGUGUUUCGUUGAAGCCUUUAAAUCUAUUUGUAGCUUAAAAAAUCAACUGCUGGCCAAAUCCUGAAGUCCUUAUUUUCUUAAUCAAUAUUUCAUGUGUCACUGUCUAAUAACUGUAGUGGUAGCUUGUCCAUUGGAGGGCUUCAGAAGUUGGUCAAAUACGAAAAGAUUAUGCUGCUAAAUCACCAGAGCUUAUUCAUGUGUUUUCAAAAAUUUUCAAUGAAAGUGUACUUCCAUACUACUUAAUACUGUGGUCAUUGAAACCUUGCUUUAAAAAAGUAUAUUAUCAUUAACCAGAAUUUGAUGAAGAACAGAAAUUUUUGUCCAAAUAUUUUGUAUAGUUUAAAGUUUUCUACAAAACUUUAAAUUUCAUGUCUAUUUCUAUAUUAGUUACCAUAAGAAAGCAACAGGAUCGAUUACUCUAAGUUCCUAAAAUAUUUCAAAAUUUCUCGACAGAUUUCUUUGGAGGUAUAAAAUGGCUCUGUAAAAUCUGUUUUUAAUUUUUGCUGCAAACAAAACUCUUAUAAAACAGAAAACUCCUUUUCAAGACUGCAGUGCUUACAUUCCUUGGAUGGGCCAUCAUAAUUAAACUACAUCAUGUAGUGUAAUAUAAAACAUCUAAGCUUUUGUGACUAAAAUAUUAAAAUAUAUUUUAUUAAUUUAUAUAGAUCAAAAUAGAUAUUUUAUUCAAACUAUUUUUGUGUUUUUUUUUUCACUUUCAUGCUCAGUUCCCAAUUACUGAUAGAAAGAUCUCCGUCAACUGCAUGAUUUUUACUAAGUUCUCAGAUUUUAGACCACCUUAUCUAUAGCUUUAUCAAAAAGCAUGAUUUACUGUACAUUAAACAUAGUCAUUUCAAUGUUUAGUAUCACAAAAAUCAACACCCACAAGAACAAGACAGUCACAGCUAGUUAAGCAGUCUCAAGACAAAUUCAUAGAUAAUAUUUACAGAACAAGAGGAAUAUUUUGAUGAAUAUUUUAUGUUUCAACAAUCGAGAUAAACUUGUAAGAACCACGACAAACGUUUAGACUUCAUUUUGGUUUCAGCACACAAGCCCAAGCUGACUCUGCUGUGAAAUACUGCAAACAUCUAGUCAAAGAAUUGCUACGGCAUGAUUUUGUUCAGCUGGUCUGUGCUCACAUAGCCACAAGACAUGUUAAAUUCUUUCUCUGGCACAGGCAGUGCAGUUGCAUUGAGCACAAGGCCUUGUGGAGAGUGAACAAUAUGAAUAGAAGUGUAGUCUGGGACAGGCAUUUCCAUACUUGGGGUUUCUGCCAUUGAAGCUCCAAGAUUGAUACCGGUAGUGGUAAGGCUUUCUGUGGUGAAGUAAGUGUCCUCGUUACAGCUUUGCUCCUGAACACGCGGCUCAUCCUCUUCCUGUGAAAUCACAGCAAUACAUUUUUUCACAUCUGCCUCACAGAAAUAGGCAUUGUCCAUGGUGAAGUUUUGUUCUGUGCAGCUUUCACACUGUGCUCUUCCCACCUUGGAUUUCUGCCCUGGAGAAAGUACAACACUUCCAGCAGGAGUAAUAUCACUCACUUGAGCAUAGAAGUCAGUGUUUGUCAGGGAAUUCUGGUUACUUAGCUGAGUUUGGACUGAUGGAUUAGCUGAGUCAGUGCUGUCUGCAAAAGGUGGCCAUGACUCUCUGCUUUCAGACUGAGUACUAGUAUGCGGCUGUUGGGUAUCUGUGUUGGCAAGACUUUGAAGUGCCUCAACAUCAUCUUUCCUAUGAAGGCACAAGAGAUCCUCUUCUUUUUCAGUUACCUUCUUGAACUGAUCAAUAUCAGAGAUGGCAUCACAUGUGUCGCUUGCACUGAAGUCUGUCUCUGGAAUAUCUGGUUCAUAACAACUGGCACGUCCAGAAUCAUCAUCCUUGGCUCCCAAGCAACUGUGUGACUUCAGAUGAUCGUCACUCAGGAGCCUGUCAGUAUCUGAGACUCUGUUCUUUUCAUCGGAGUCAUCUAUGUCCAAUUCAAUAAACUCAACCCACAAGUCAUCAUUGUAUAGCUGUGUCUUGUAGUUGUCAUGGCUGGCUAAGAUGGAGUUCACUUCAUCUAGCUUUCCUUCCUUUAAGAGAUCUGGGUCAAUCCCUUUAAUCUUUGGAACUGGCACAGGAGGAAAAAUCAGCAUUUUUAACCUUGGCUGUUUAGACAACAGGAUUAAGAUCGCUGUUACGGCCAGCCCACACACUCCGAAGACAACAACUAAGAACCAGGGAAACUCGAUUUCUGGAAACACAGAACAGAAACAUUAGCAAGAAUCUGCAUCUCUGUUGCAUCUUUAACUUACACCUUCUCUGCAGCCACCUGAGAAUUCCAAAGUCAGAAAAACUGAUAGGAAAAUUUUAGGUUACAUCAACGUGAAAGUUCUGUAGCAAGAAGAAAUAAAAACACUCUUUGACAUCAAUAGUUUCUGUGCUGCAUUUGUGAGUCCACUGAGACUGCUUGCAAAGAGUCUGAACUUUUUGAUAUGAGCAAGAUCAUAGCACAGACAAUAUAUAUGGCAAAAGCAGACAGAAGGAAAAUUCUGCCAGCCAGGAACAUGCUACCAAGUAGUUGUCCCCUUUGUAGUCCGUGUAACUGCUUCUGUUAGUCCAAGUAGAGAACCUUAUUAACAGUGUGUAUCUCUGCUAAAUCAAGGGCGCCAUAUUGGCAUCAAAAACAUCAACACCACUUCUUCUAAAGGCAGAACAUGAAUUGCGUUGUGAGCUGUACCAAUUGUAAAAAAAAAAAAAAAAAAAAAAAAAAGA